UACGUAGGGUGCAAGCGUUGUCCGGAAUUAUUGGGCGUAAAGAGCUCGUAGGCGGUUUGUCGCGUCGAAUGUGAAAACCCGGGGCUCAACCCCGGGCCUGCAUUCGAUACGGGCAGACUAGAGUUCGGUAGGGGAGUCUGGAAUUCCUGGUGUAGCGGUGAAAUGCGCAGAUAUCAGGAGGAACACCGGUGGCGAAGGCGGGUCUCUGGGCCGUAACUGACGCUGAGGAGCGAAAGCAUGGGGGAGCGAACGG
rnacentral:rRNA from 1 species